GACCCACACCAAGUCUCUAGAUCCCUUGCCCUUUUGGGCUAUGUGGAGGAGAAGAUCUGAUUGACGGAAUUACUUCUUCUGGUCCAGGUUCCUGGUUCACCAUGGAGGAUGCAAUGAGGAAACCAGUGCAUUCGAAGCCACCCGUGUCACUGGGUAUGUACAGGAGCAUGCACAAGAAGGACUACACGUGGCAGGAAGAGAUCAAACCACCCACUGAGGAGGACAUUCAGAAGCUAAGAGCCAACGAGUUUGCCGUGCCUCAGGAGCCGCGGGCGAUGACGUACUAUGACAAAGCUGUCGGGGAAGGGAGAGAAGUCACACAAAGUGAGAAGCAAGAAGGCAUCGCCCUCAGUCCCAGAGUGCUGCAGCAGGCUUAUGAAGAGCAGAGAAAGCACUUCAGUUCUGACCUCCCCCUUGCAGAAAGCCAUGCACCAAGGUGCUACUCCACCCCUGAACUGACAGCAAGCCAGGCAGAGAGACUGGAGAGGCCAUGGACUCUCAGUGGGCUGGAAAAGGAUCUGUCUUCUUCCCAGCACCUUCAGGCUGCUGCUGGUGGCCCGAGUGCAGCAGGGAUGUUGCUGUAUAGGCAAAAGCUGGAUCCAACCUUUGGUACCUACCAGCACUUCAUGCUGGAGACAGGCCAGGCCCUGCAACACGAGGCUCAGCAGAACAAGAACAUGGCCCUGCGCUCCUCGGUUUUGGUGGAAGACUGCUUUAACCUUGACCGGAGCUCUACCUACAGCACCGAUUUCCAGCGCCAGCCUGCAGCCUACAGUGGAUGCUGUACAGCAAAUAAGAAUGUGUCUCACGUUUUCACUGAAGAUCAGCACUUCCACCAGAACCGCUGGGUAUCUGAGUACAAGGACAACUACAGCAUUCACUUGCACAGGCUGAAUUGGGCAUCUCAAGGCCCCGCUGCAGAGCUCCACUCUGCCUUGAAGCCCCAAGGGCCGUCCUCCCAGAGUGAGGUUGCACCAGACACAGCCCAGUGA
rnacentral:lncRNA from 1 species